GAUGAACGCUAGCGGCAGGCUUAAUACAUGCAAGUUGAGGGGCAGCAUGAUAUACGCGAGUAUAUUGAUGGCGACCGGCGGACGGGUGAGUAAUAGGUAGGAGACCUACCUCAUACAGGGGGAUAGCAUAGAGAAAUCUGUGGUAAUACCCCAUGAGGUUAUAUGAAUAGAGGCAUAUAAUCAAAGCAUAAGCGAUUAUGCGGUAUGAGAGGGGCCUACUGACCAUUAGCUAGUUGGUGAGGUAAGGGCUCACCAAGGCGAAGAUGGUUAGGGGUUUUGAGAGAGAGACCCCCCACAUUGGAACUGAGAGACGGUCCAGACUCCUACGGGAGGCAGCAGUAGGGAAUAUUGGGCAAUGGGCGAAAGCCUGACCCAGCCAUGCCGCGUGAAGGAAGACGGCCUUAUGGGUUUAAACUUCUUUACUACGCGAAUAGAGGUUAGUACGAGAUACUAAUAGGAAGGUAGUGUAGUAAAAGCACCGGCUAACUCCGUG
rnacentral:rRNA from 1 species